rnacentral:rRNA from 1 species
CCGGAGAACUGAAACAUCUUAGUACCCGGAGGAAGAGAAAGAAAAUUCGAUUCCCUUAGUAGCGGCGAGCGAAACGGGAAGAGCCCAAACCAACAAGCUUGCUUGUUGGGGUUGUAGGACACUCUAUACGGAGUUACAAAGGACGACAUUAGACGAAUCAUCUGGAAAGAUGAAUCAAAGAAGGUAAUAAUCCUGUAGUCGAAAAUGUUGUCUCUCUUGAGUGGAUCCUGAGUACGACGGAGCACGUGAAAUUCCGUCGGAAUCUGGGAGGACCAUCUCCUAAGGCUAAAUACUCUCUAGUGACCGAUAGUGAACCAGUACCGUGAGGGAAAGGUGAAAAGCACCCCGGAAGGGGAGUGAAAUAGAACCUGAAACCGUGUGCUUACAAGUAGUCAGAGCCCGUUAAUGGGUGAUGGCGUGCCUUUUGUAGAAUGAACCGGCGAGUUACGAUUUGAUGCAAGGUUAAGCAGUAAAUGUGGAGCCGUAGCGAAAGCGAGUCUGAAUAGGGCGUUUAGUAUUUGGUCGUAGACCCGAAACCAGGUGAUCUACCCUUGGUCAGGUUGAAGUUCAGGUAACACUGAAUGGAGGACCGAACCGACUUACGUUGAAAAGUGAGCGGAUGAACUGAGGGUAGCGGAGAAAUUCCAAUCGAACCUGGAGAUAGCUGGUUCUCUCCGAAAUAGCUUUAGGGCUAGCCUCAAGUGAUGAUUAUUGGAGGUAGAGCACUGUUUGGACGAGGGGCCCCUCUCGGGUUACCGAAUUCAGACAAACUCCGAAUGCCAAUUAAUUUAACUUGGGAGUCAGAACAUGGGUGAUAAGGUCCGUGUUCGAAAGGGAAACAGCCCAGACCACCAGCUAAGGUCCCAAAAUAUAUGUUAAGUGGAAAAGGAUGUGGCGUUGCCCAGACAACUAGGAUGUUGGCUUAGAAGCAGCCAUCAUUUAAAGAGUGCGUAAUAGCUCACUAGUCGAGUGACACUGCGCCGAAAAUGUACCGGGGCUAAACAUAUUACCGAAGCUGUGGAUUGUCCUUUGGACAAUGGUAGGAGAGCGUUCUAAGGGCGUUGAAGCAUGAUCGUAAGGACAUGUGGAGCGCUUAGAAGUGAGAAUGCCGGUGUGAGUAGCGAAAGACGGGUGAGAAUCCCGUCCACCGAUUGACUAAGGUUUCCAGAGGAAGGCUCGUCCGCUCUGGGUUAGUCGGGUCCUAAGCUGAGGCCGACAGGCGUAGGCGAUGGAUAACAGGUUGAUAUUCCUGUACCACCUAUAAUCGUUUUAAUCGAUGGGGGGACGCAGUAGGAUAGGCGAAGCGUGCGAUUGGAUUGCACGUCUAAGCAGUAAGGCUGAGUAUUAGGCAAAUCCGGUACUCGUUAAGGCUGAGC